UUCCUUACAGCUCAGCUGGUUAGAGCGUGGCGCUGAUAAUGCCAAGGUUGCAGGUACGAUCGCUAUCUAAGGCAA